rnacentral:rRNA from 1 species
CCCCUAGAUGUUCUGGGCCGCACGCGCGCUACACUGAACAGUUCAACAAGUCUUAACCUUGGCCGAUAGGUCUGGGUAAUCUUUGAACGCUGUUCGUGAUUGGGAUAGACCUUUGCAAUUAUGGGUCUUCAACGAGGAAUUCCUAGUAAACGCAAGUCAUCAGCUUGCAUUGAUUACGUCCCUGCCCUUUGUACACACCGCCCGUCGCUACUACCGAUUGAACGGUUUAGUGAGGGCAUCGGACUGGUCUCGGCCCGCCCUUCACCGGUGCGGCGCCGCCGGCCGGGAAGACGCUCGAACUUGAUCGUUUAGAGGAAGUAAAANUCGUANCA